UACAGAGGUCUCAAGCGUUGUUCGGAUUCAUUGGGCGUAAAGGUGCGUAGGCGGCGCGGUAAGUCGGGUGUGAAAUCGUUGGAGCUUACUCCGAAACUGCAUUCGAUACUGCCGUGCUUGAGGACUGGAGAGGAGACGUGGAAUUUACGGUGUAGCGGUGAAAUGCGUAGAUAUCGUAGGAAGACCAGUGGCGAAGGCGG
rnacentral:rRNA from 1 species